rnacentral:rRNA from 1 species
GGCGGUCCCUUUAAGUCUGAUGUGAAAGCCCCCGGCUCAACCCGUGGAGGGUCAUUGGGAAACUGGGGGACUUGAGUGCAGAAGAGGAGAGUGGAAUUUCCACGUGUAGCGGUGAAAUGCGUAGAGAUGUGGAGGAACACCAGUGGCGAAGGCGACUCUCCGGUCUGUAACUGACGCUGAGGCGCGAAAGCGUGGGGAGCAAACAGGAUUAGAUACCCUGGUAGUCCACGCCGUAAACGAUGAGUGCUAAGUGUUAGAGGGUUUCCGCCCUUUAGUGCUGCAGCUAACGCAUUAAGCACUCCGCCUGGGGAGUACGGCCGCAAGGCUGAAACUCAAAGGAAUUGACGGGGGCCCGCACAAGCGGUGGAGCAUGUGGUUUAAUUCGAAGCAACGCGAAGAACCUUACCAGGUCCUGACAUCCUCUGCUACUCCUAGAGAUAGGACGUUCCCCUUCGGGGGACGGAGUGACAGGUGGUGCAUGGUUGUCGUCAGCUCGUGUCGUGAGAUGUUGGGUUAAGUCCCGCAACGAGCGCAACCCUUGUUCUUAGUUGCCAGCAUUUAGUUGGGCACUCUAAGGAGACUGCCGGUGACAAACCGGAGGAAGGUGGGGAUGACGUCAAAUCAUCAUGCCCCUUAUGACCUGGGCUACACACGUGCUACAAUGGAUGGUACAAAGAGUCGCAAACCCGCGAGGGCUAGCUAAUCUCAUAAAGCCAUUCUCAGUUCGGAUUGUAGGCUGCAACUCGCCUACAUGAAGCCGGAAUCGCUAGUAAUCGCGGAUCAGCAUGCCGAGGUGAAUACGUUCCCGG